AGAGUUUGAUCAUGGCUCAGGACGAACGCUGGCGGCGUGCUUAACACAUGCAAGUCGAGCGGGACUUAAGUUGGAAGGCUUCGGCUGGAAGAUUUGAGUUCUAGCGGCGGACGGGUGAGUACGCGUGAGCAAUCUGUCCUACACAGGGGGAUAACACUUGGAAACAGGUGCUAAUACCGCUAAGACCACGAAGUCGCAUGGCUUUGAGGUAAAAGAUUUAUCGGUGUAGGGUGAGCUCGCUCUGAUUAGCUAGUUGGUGAGGUAACGGCCCACCAAGGCGACGAUCAGUAGCCGACCUGAAGGGUGAUCGGCCACAUUGGAACUGAGACACGGUCCAGACUCCUACGGGAGGCAGCAGUGGGAAUAUUGGGCAAUGGGCGCAAGCCUGACCCAGCAACGCCGCGUGAAGGAAGAAGGUUUCGGAUUGUAAACUUCUGUCCUUGGUGACGAAGAAAGUGACGGUAGCCAAGGAGGAAGCCCGGCUAACUACGUGCCAGCAGCCGCGGUAAUACGUAGGGGGCAAGCGUUGUCCGGAAUGACGGGCGUAAAGGGCGUGUAGGCGGCCUGAUAAGUCUGAAGUGAAAGUCCUGCUUUCAAGGUGGAAUUGCUUUGGAGACUGUCGGGCUUGAGUGCGGAAGAGGUAAGUGGAAUUCCCAGUGUGCGGUGAAAUGCGUAGAGAUUGGGAGGAACACCAGUGGCGAAGGCGACUUACUGGGCCGUACUGACGCUGAGGCGCGAAAGCGUGGGGAGCGAACAGGAUUAGAUACCCUGGUAGUCCACCUGUAAACGAUGAAUGCUAGGUGUAGCGGGUAUCGACCCCUGCUGUGCCGUAGUAAACACAUAAGCAUUCCGCCUGGGGAGUACGGCCGCAAGGUUGAAACUCAAAGGAAUUGACGGGGGC
rnacentral:rRNA from 2 species